rnacentral:siRNA from 1 species
AGUGUCCCACACUCCCUUUGGCAC